UACGUAGGUGGCAAGCGUUGUCCGGAUUUACUGGGCGUAAAGGGAGCGUAGGCGGACUUUUAAGUGGGAUGUGAAAUACCCGGGCUUAACCUGGGUGCUGCAUUCCAAACUGGGAGUCUAGAGUGCAGGAGGGGAAAGUGGAAUUCCUAGUGUAGCGGUGAAAUGCGUAGAGAUUAGGAAGAACACCAGUGGCGAAGGCGACUUUCUGGACUGUAACUGACGCUGAGGCUCGAAAGCGUGGGGAGCGAACAGG
rnacentral:rRNA from 3 species